GUGCUUGCUUUGCCAGCACAUAUGCUAAAGUUGGAGUGAUACAGAGAUCAACAUGGCCCCUGUACAAAAAGGAUGUGCAAAUUCAUGAAGUGGUCCGUGUUUUU